AUAGUUCCUGUGUUUCUAAUCACAUGGCAGCUGUUUGCGUGGUAAUAGUCUGCUCCGAGUUUUAUAGAAGCUGCGUUUCUUAAUUGAGUGCUUUGAAGAGUCUUAAGACCAUGCAGAAAGCAGAGUAGGGGCCCCCUCUCUGGCAGGGUUAGCUUGUAACACAGUUUGAAAUAUUUUUCAGGGAUGGUCACAGCCUUCCCUGUUAGUGUCCACAUUUCUUGGGAAGCAGUGGCCCAGACACAGGGCUCCUGCAAGCCUGGGCAUAAAACCUCACUUACGGAGGAAGCCUCGUUGGACCAGUGUGGGCCUGAGCUCUUCAUCACAGCUAGGGUCCUUCUCUAGCUUGUAGCAACAGAAACUGGCCCAGGGCUUUGCUUUUCUUCUGACCAGGUGGAACCUGAAUACGACACCCAUUUUUGAUUUUGCAAAAGGCAAGUCUUCCAGCUUCUGGGACAGACGCGUCUGACACCAGGGGAAAACUACAGUUGCGUGGUCCCUUACUCCAUCUGCCGGCUCUGCAUCCUUACCCUGUGCCCACCUCCUGGCUCUGGCUGGCUGUUGGCACCCCGCACCCGCGGGUUCCCUAUUGCAGCACCGGGAAGGCCUUUCGGGGUCUUUAAGAAUUUCUGAUCAAAAACUCUGUUAGUUGUUGUUAAGGAGAAGUACAAAGCUGAAUGGCACGACUAGACAUUGGUGGCGCUUCUAAUGAGCAGAGAAGACCAGAGCUGACUUCUUCCUGGAAAACUGAGGGCCGGUCAUCUUGUUUGUGCCCAUAUUUGGCCUGACUCAGGGUUCUUCCUGGUGGAUGUGCACACAUGUCUCAGCCAAGACACAUUCUAGUGUGGAGGUGUCUAGGGAUUGGAAGGGCAUGGUAUAGGCUGGCGGCUCCUCCCGCCUUUGCUCCCUUCCCUGAGUGAGAACCCUUUCUGCACCUGUGUUGGGCUGGGACAUCCCCUUGACCACUAGAAUGAGGAAAAUCUAGUUGCUUUGUCUUCCACCUAGUCACGGCCUGAUGCUCCUGCUAGCAUCUUGCCUCAGAGCAUCAGCAGGGGACUGGUUGCAGCUGUUCAGCCUGGGGCCCAUCUAUCUCCUACCUCAAUGUGAGCCUCCUCAAAAAAGGCGUCCAAGGCAGUUUACUGACACAGUAGACAGAAUUUUGAGGCUAGAGGCAGACCUUAUGGACCUGUGGAGUAGAGCCAGAUACAUAAAAACCCAGCCCUGGUGCAGUCAGGCUGGAGCACUUGGUUGGUGCCACCAGAGGAACCUUCCAUGGAAACCAUCUGAGGUCUCAGCAUGGUCGUUCUUCACCAGGUGCAUGGGUUUCCACAAAGACUUAGCAACAAGGGCCCUGCCUGAAGCCAGACACAAACUUUGUCUUGCAGAGAGUGUGGGUGAGAGGUAUGUGGGGUGUAGAAAAGGCCCACGUAAAGCAGCCUUCCAGGAAAACUGUUGAGUUCCGUCUGGGGAAGAUCUAUACACUACAAAAUCUCUUCAUGCUUGUGACAGAAAUAUUAAUGCCCAAACUUGGAUUAAAUAAAAG
ensembl:lncRNA